CGGCGUGCUUAACACAUGCAAGUCGAACGGAAAGGCCCUUCGGGGUACUCGAGUGGCGAACGGGUGAGUAACACGUGGGUGAUCUGCCCUGCACUUUGGGAUAAGCCUGGGAAACUGGGUCUAAUACCGGAUAGGACCACGGUCUGCAUGGAUUGUGGUGGAAAGCUUUUGCGGUGUGGGAUGGGCCCGCGGCCUAUCAGCUUGUUGGUGGGGUGAUGGCCUACCAAGGCGACGACGGGUAGCCGGCCUGAGAGGGUGACCGGCCACACUGGGACUGAGAUACGGCCCAGACUCCUACGGGAGGCAGCAGUGGGGAAUAUUGCACAAUGGGCGCAAGCCUGAUGCACGACGCCGCGUGAGGGAUGACGGCCUUCGGGUUGUAAACCUCUUUCGGUAGGGACGAAGCGCAAGUGACGGUACCUACAGAAGAAGGACCGGCCAACUACGUGCCAGCAGCCGCGGUAAUACGUAGGGUCCGAGCGUUGUCCGGAAUUACUGGGCGUAAAGAGCUCGUAGGUGGUUUGUCGCGUUGUCCGUGAAAACUCACAGCUCAACUGUGGGCGUGCGGGCGAUACGGGCAGACUGGAGUACUGCAGGGGAGACUGGAAUUCCUGGUGUAGCGGUGGAAUGCGCAGAUAUCAGGAGGAACACCGGUGGCGAAGGCGGGUCUCUGGGCAGUAACUGACGCUGAGGAGCGAAAGCGUGGGGAGCGAACAGGAUUAGAUACCCUGGUAGUCCACGCCGUAAACGGUGGGUACUAGGUGUGGGUUUCCUUCCUUGGGAUCCGUGCCGUAGCUAACGCAUUAAGUACCCCGCCUGGGGAGUACGGCCGCAAGGCUAAAACUCAAAGGAAUUGACGGGGGCCCGCACAAGCGGCGGAGCAUGUGGAUUAAUUCGAUGCAACGCGAAGAACCUUACCUGGGUUUGACAUGCACAGGACGCCGGCAGAGAUGUCGGUUCCCUUGUGGCCUGUGUGCAGGUGGUGCAUGGCUGUCGUCAGCUCGUGUCGUGAGAUGUUGGGUUAAGUCCCGCAACGAGCGCAACCCUUGUCUCAUGUUGCCAGCACGUUAUGGUGGGGACUCGUGAGAGACUGCCGGGGUCAACUCGGAGGAAGGUGGGGAUGACGUCAAGUCAUCAUGCCCCUUAUGUCCAGGGCUUCACACAUGCUACAAUGGCCGGUACAAAGGGCUGCGAUGCCGUGAGGUGGAGCGAAUCCUUUCAAAGCCGGUCUCAGUUCGGAUCGGGGUCUGCAACUCGACCCCGUGAAGUCGGAGUCGCUAGUAAUCGCAGAUCAGCAACGCUGCGGUGAAUACGUUCCCGGGCCUUGUACACACCGCCCGUCACGUCAUGAAAGUCGGUAACACCCGAAGCCGGUGGCCUAACCCCUUGUGGGAGGGAGCCGUCGAAGGUGG
rnacentral:rRNA from 1 species